rnacentral:rRNA from 1 species
UACGUAGGGGGCGAGCGUUGUCCGGAUUUACUGGGCGUAAAGAGCGCGUAGGCGGAUGUUUAAGUGUGGCCUCAAAGCCCCCGGCUCAACCGGGGAUCUGGGUUGCAAACUGGGCAUCUUGAGGGGGAUAGAGGAGAGUGGAAUUCCUGGUGUAGCGGUGAAAUGCGUAGAUAUCAGGAGGAACACCAGUGGCGAAGGCGGCUCUCUGGGUCGGCACUGACGCUGAGGCGCGAAAGCGUGGGGAGCGAACGGG